GCUGCGGCGCACUGACUCCGGAUCAGCCGCGGAGGGGAUCUAAAACGUAACCUUCAGGAAAGUCAACAGUACCGACAACAGAUUGUUCUGUACAUCAGCAGGAUCAUCAUCCGUUUCUCCAGGAGAACCAUCUGCUACCACAACACGAAACUUGUGCUGUAACCCAUCACAGGCUGAGAGAAACCCCAUGUGUUCAGUGAUACAAUUUGGCCCACAUUAAAGAAGAUCAAAAAACCUCUUUAAGAUUUCCAGCUCAAUAUCACGAUGGAUACAUAGAUGAUCUGUGUUCAAAACACUGUAAGAUGGCAGCAAGCAAGACUGACCUGCCUGGCAAAUCUCCAUUUUCAUCAAACCACACAUCUUCUCCAGAUACACCAGUAAAGGAGGUCUUGAGGAGAAAGUCCAGCAGCUUGCUGCCGUCAAU